GUGGGGAAUAUUGGACAAUGGGCGAAAGCCUGAUCCAGCCAUGCCGCGUGUGUGAAGAAGGUCUUCGGAUUGUAAAGCACUUUAAGUUGGGAGGAAGGGCAGUAAGUUAAUACCUUGCUGUUUUGACGUUACCGACAGAAUAAGCACCGGCUAACUUCGUGCCAGCAGCCGCGGUAAUACGAAGGGUGCAAGCGUUAAUCGGAAUUACUGGGCGUAAAGCGCGCGUAGGUGGUUUUGUAAGUUGGAGGUGAAAUCCCCGGGCUCAACCUGGGAACUGCCUCAAAAACUGCAAGACUAGAGUACGGUAGAGGGUAGUGGAAUUUCCUGUGUAGCGGUGAAAUGCGUAGAUAUAGGAAGGAACACCAGUGGCGAAGGCGACUACCUGGACUGAUACUGACACUGAGGUGCGAAAGCGUGGGGAGCAAACAGGAUUAGAAACCCCGGUAGUCC
rnacentral:rRNA from 1 species